rnacentral:ncRNA from 2 species
UGCGUUGAUCCUUUUGUAGGACGCAAGUAACUCUCUAGGAGAGUGAAGCAACGGGAA